ACCGAUGUGCACGAUUAUCAGGUCAAGAUGCGCAAUGUCGUCAAAUUCCUCGAGAAUGGCGACAAGGUGAAAGUGACCCUGCGCUUCCGCGGUCGCGAAAUGGCGCACCAGGAUCUGGGCCGUCAGCUUCUCGAACGCGUGGCCGAGGACACCAAGGAGAUCGGCAAGGUCGAGAACAUGCCGAAGAUGGAAGGCCGUCAGAUGAUCAUGAUGAUCGGGCCGCUGCCCUCGAAAGGCUGAUUGGCGCAAGGCCAGAACAGAUUUUGAACCCCGGAUGCCCGCAUCCGGGGUUUUGUUUUGUCCUGCGGACGAAACGAUGAGCCCAUUGGGGACAUU
rnacentral:misc_RNA from 1 species